rnacentral:lncRNA from 1 species
GAGAUUGGGCUCACAUGGGCCGAAUAACCCCACCUAGCAACCUGCCAAACUCGCUGAUGAAUUGCCCUACGAAACGAAUUCAUGCGGCCUUUCUCCGCGCGGAAAAGGCUAGGAAUCUCACGGGUAUAUGGGCUGCCAAACUAGCCCUGAUGGUGGUGACUGACAGAUAUAAUGAUAGCAAGUAACAGGCGAGGAUAGAUCCAUCCAAGCAAAAUCGUCUCGAAAGAGAGAAAAAAAAGGAAAAAAAAAGGAGAAAGGAGUUUAGAACUUGAGAUCCAGGCAUCCAGGGCCUGUGCUCACGUC